rnacentral:rRNA from 1 species
AUUGAACGCUGGCGGCAUGCUUUACACAUGCAAGUCGAACGGCAGCGCGGGCUUCGCCCUGGCGGCGAGUGGCGAACGGGUGAGUAAUACAUCGGAACGUGCCCAGUAGUGGGGGAUAGCUCGGCGAAAGCCGGAUUAAUACCGCAUACGACCUGAGGGUGAAAGCGGGGGAUCUUCGGACCUCGCGCUAUUAGAGCGGCCGAUGUCAGAUUAGCUAGUUGGUGGGGUAAAGGCCUACCAAGGCGACGAUCUGUAGCUGGUCUGAGAGGACGACCAGCCACACUGGAACUGAGACACGGCCCAGACUCCUACGGGAGGCAGCAGUGGGGAAUUUUGGACAAAGGGCGAAAGCCUGAUCCAGCAAUGCCGCGUGUGUGAUGAAGGCCUUCGGGUUGUAAAGCACUUUUGGCGGGAACGAAAAGGACUGUGCCAAUACCACGGUUUGAUGACGGUACCCGCAGAAUAAGCACCGGCUAACUACGUG